UCCACCUUGAAGGUUAAUGCGGGAUAACUCCUGGACUUUUUAGUCGGUAAGCAGUCAUGCAGUCCGAUACACCGGUCAGAGUGACGACGUGACUGACGGUGCAUAAAGCAUUUUUUCCUACCACAACCCA